rnacentral:lncRNA from 1 species
AAGUAUUCAGUAAAAAAUAUCGCGCGAGAACAUUUCAAAGGCGCCAAAGUACAAUCGAUAUUAUCGAUGCCUGCGAUAUAUUGGAGGGACAGCUUCAGAAUGAUCAAAGAAUUGAAUGUGCGAUUCACCGUAUCGUCAGAAAAGUUUUGAAUUCCUUGUGUGAUAUAUGUACAUCGUUCAACUGAGACUGCUAUGAAUGUAUCUUCAGCAUGAGUCAGCAACGUCAGUAAUAUUAGCGGCAGAAAGGUGUUCUUGAUUAUUCUGCGAUAGCUAAAAUCUUACGGGCAUUUGAAGAGCGUUGGGUCCGAAUCGAUCGAAAAAAUGAGGCAAAUCGUCGUAAAAAGGAGACGAGAAACGUAGCCAGGAAAUGGCGAACCACGAGGACACCGACACGUCGAUGAUCACUGUAAUAAUCGUAGUAACAACCGUCGACGUUAUAAAACGCAGGAUUCACGUGCAGGAAUGUUUCCAACAUCGAUGAUGGGAAUUUUGUUUUUAUCAUUGAAAUACUGAAAAUUGGAAAUAUUAUGUAUUAUGCAAAUAUUCCAGCAAUCUGCAAUUCGUUUGAUGUUUCAGAAGUGAUAAUUUAUAAUUGAUCCAAGUUAGGUUAUUUUAAUUGAAACGUUGUUAUAAUUUGAAAUCAAAUAAUUUGGCAAAUCAGAACUUGAUUAAUUACUUACAAGAUUCGUUUAUACAGCGACACUCCGUAGAAAAUACAACUUUUUACUUUCAAUGUA